rnacentral:rRNA from 1 species
UACGAAGGGGGCUAGCGUUACUCGGAAUUAUUGGGCGUAAAGCGUGCGUAGGCUGCUUUGCAAGUUAGUGGUGAAAUCCUUAGGCUUAACCUAAGAACUGCUUCUAAUACUGCAAGGCUAGAGUUCUAAAGAGGAUAGCGGAAUUCCUAGUGUAGAGGUGAAAUUCGUUGAUAUUAGGAGGAACACCGGUGGCGAAAGCGGCUAUCUGGUUAGAUACUGACGCUGUUGCACGAAAGCGUGGGGAGCAAACAGG